CAGUCUCUACUACACUGUCAC
rnacentral:miRNA from 15 species